GUGGGGAAUUUUGGACAAUGGGCGCAAGCCUGAUCCAGCAAUGCCGCGUGCAGGAAGAAGGCCUUCGGGUUGUAAACUGCUUUUGUACGGAACGAAACGGUCCUGGUUAAUACCUGGGGCUAAUGACGGUACCGUAAGAAUAAGCACCGGCUAACUACGUGCCAGCAGCCGCGGUAAUACGUAGGGUGCGAGCGUUAAUCGGAAUUACUGGGCGUAAAGCGUGCGCAGGCGGUGCUGUAAGACAGGCGUGAAAUCCCCGGGCUCAACCUGGGAAUUGCGCUUGUGACGGCAUUGCUGGAGUACGGCAGAGGGGGAUGGAAUUCCGCGUGUAGCAGUGAAAUGCGUAGAUAUGCGGAGGAACACCGAUGGCGAAGGCAGUCCCCUGGGCCUGUACUGACGCUCAUGCACGAAAGCGUGGGGAGCAAACAGGAUUAGAAACCCGUGUAGUCC
rnacentral:rRNA from 1 species